UCGCAUACCUGAUAAAAACCAUUCGACAUCAUUUCGUCUACAAUUGCUGCUUCGCAUUGUGACUGCACUCCUACAGAUGCUUCAAAUAGCCUACCGAGGCUAUCGAUAUGCGAUGCAUAGCGUUGUAAUGUGGAACCAGGCGGAAGAGCGACUCUUCCAAUAAAAAACUUUGCAACCGUUUAUUCACUGCGAUUAAAACACCCCCGCCUUGAUGUUUAUCAGAGUUGGUUGCGUUCCGAUCGCAACGGUAAACAGCGUAAUUGUCCGGGAAAACAAAACCAUUCGAUAUGCUAGGAUCGAGGGAGUGAACACUGACUCAGCUGUGAUCGUGUUUUAGACGAAGACAAGGGCCGAUGCGUUGUCAGCUUACUGACGAAAUCUAUACCCAGACGAUCUGUACUCAAACUCUCGGAAAUAUAUUCCCUUCUGCCAUGUUGAGGUAGAUAGGGCUUUCUC